GAAAUGAUGGCUGAUAAAGUACUAAUUUUUUAAAUUAGAAAUAAUGAAU
rnacentral:tRNA from 1 species